rnacentral:lncRNA from 1 species
UGGAUGCCAUUUUAUUCCAGAGCUCUUGUUUGUAAUUAAAACUUUUAAGAUUAGAUGGUACAGUGUUUUUACUCCCUUCCAAACAGUAAAGUUCCUCUUUGUCUCUCAGUAGGAAAUUUAAACCAGACAGUACAAGGCUACAUUUCAGCUUUACAAGCCAAUCAGUUUGCUAAUUGUUCUUGUGAGAUUUGUUUGCAAAGUUUAAGGUGUUAAGUAGGAGCUUUGAACAUCUGGGUCUGCUUGUUGCUGGCAUUCUGCCAGAGCCCCAGCAACAAGACCGCCUCCCAGCAACGAGACUGCCUGUCAGCCUUGCAAGAUUUGUUUGAAAAGUUUGAGGUGGUAACUGUGAGCUGUGAACAUUUGGGUUUGCUUGCUGCUGGCAUUCUACCAGCGCCCCAGCAACAACACUGCCUCCCAGCUUUGCAAGGUAAUUACUUUCCCAAUUACUGUACACCAAAACGGAGUAACUGUCAUGGUCAACAAAUCUGCCUCCCAACUUUCAAGAUGCCGAGAAAAAAUAAAAGAUCCCAGGCACAAAAGAAGCGCUGGAAACCACUUGACCUGGUCGAUCCUGCUGUCCCAAUGCUCACUGGCCACAACCAAGAUGAGGCAGUCAGUAGUUUUCCAUCUGACCAGACAGCACCAGCCAGGUUAUCCUUGGAAACACAGGAUAGACCCACCUCCUUAUGUUCCCCAGGUAUCAAGCAGACAGCACCAGCCAGGUUGUCCUUGGAAACGGAGAAUAGGCCCACCUCCUUAUGUCCUCCAGACAGCAAGAUUUCAGACACUCGUCCACCAGCAAAACGAGUCUGGGCAACUGAUGAUUUCCACACGGCAUCAAAUUCUCCACCUAAAAAGCCUUUCCACAACACAAAUGAAGAACUACUGACAGAGGAGCUACAGAGCAAUGCAGUUCAGCACUUCUGGUGUGUCAGUGCAACUCAUUGUCAAAGUGAUGAAAGGUACACAGAAUUCUCUCGAAAUCAUCAGUGCACAUGUAAUGCCCUCACAUUCCUGGCCUACCUUAAUGAGGAACACCAGUUCAACACAGCCCGACUUGAUAAGGUGCUUGAACAGGGAGAUGCACUCUACUGUUGGAUUAAAACAAAUCUUCAGCAGGAGGGGCGUUAUACACAAUCAUCUGACCAUAGAGGAACUGCCCAAAAAAGUUCAUGCUGACAUAAAUGUCUACAGUGUGAAA